UUAUGAUAAUGUGACAGGAGCAUCUCUUUCUGUGAGACAACCCUCCAUUCCCAAUCAACUAUGUGAUCUCUUUUCUCCCUCAAAUCUGCUCUUUCAUCCGCUCAUCUUGGCUCCAUUACCUCCCGCAAAGCAUUCAAGCGGCAAAGUUACUUUCUUUGACUUAAAAGUUUACUUUUCGCUCCUCUUUUUGUUUUGUUUGUUUUGAAUCGCCACUGGUUCGCUAACUCGCGCGACCAACAUGGCAACUCCGGCCGCUCCGACUCUUCUCCCCGUGGCUCCGCUCGGCCACCACCCGGCGGCGAGCUCCGCGUCCCCGGCCACUCACUCACCGCCACCUGCGGCCACCUCUGCCACUUCCUCCCCGGCUCCUCCGGCGGCGCGUCCGGCGCUGCUCCACCAUUUCCGAGCGGACCUCUUACUCCCGAACGGCACCCAGUUGAAGCCCGGCGUCGGUGUCGUCCCGGUGUCCGGCGGCGGAAACAAGCCCGUGUACGCCACCCCUUCCCCGGUAGAGAGCACCCCGCAGAACAACGAGUGCCGGCUGGUGGAGGUGAAGGGAGCCAAGCUGGCGUCGUUCACCGUCAAAGACACGGAGCUCAUUUGCCUCCCGCAGGCCUUCGACGUGUUCCUCAAGCACCUGGUCGGCGGGCUCCACACCGUCUACACCAAGCUGAAGCGGCUGGACAUCACACCGGUGGUGUGUAACGUGGAGCAGGUCCGCGUGCUCCGGGGACUCGGGGCCAUCCAGCCCGGCGUGAACCGAUGCAAGCUCAUCUCCAGGCAGGACUUCGAGACGCUCUAUAGCGACUGUACCAACGCGAGUUCGAGGCCCGGCAGACCGCCCAAGAGGCUGCAGACGGUGACUGACGGCGGGGCUCACCACAUGCUGUCCCACGGCGGUCUGAUGCACGCCGGGAUCAUGCCUCCCGCAGAUCUGUCCGCCCUGGCCAAGAAGAUCAAACUGGAGAUGGGCGGUUACCACAACAACCAACAACAUGGCGGCCACAACGGAGAGAAUGGCGACCACAGUCCAGGAUUGGUUCUGGACCAGUUGCCCUUCAUGAUGAUGUCACAUCCCCUGAUCCCGGCCAGUCUGGCACCGGCCUCCGUUUCCAUGGCGAUGGGCCAGAUGAACCGCUUGAGCACGCUGGCCAGCAUCGCCAACAUGGCGCAGCUCCACCACGCCAACCCUGCCGCCCGGCCCCCCGCCUCCGUCAUUAAGAUGCAGCAACUGACAUGGUGCACUCAAAAGGAGCGAAUGCAUGACGACAGCCCUUCCCCUUCCCCCUCGCUGGAGGAAGCUCAGAUGUCGUCCAAUCACAGCAGCAGCGUGUCCAGUUCGCCCUCUCACACAGAACGUGCUACGGAAAACACACACCAGCUCCACGAUGGCGUCACAUUAAGUCACUGCUUGUUGGCACAGUCGGGGGUCAGAGAGUCGGACUCGAUGGAAUACAGCAAAGAAAGCAAAAGGGGGCGCAUUGACAAAGAAUCCAACCUGUUGGCCGGUGAUAGACAAGUGUACCAGCACCCCCCGCCAAGCAGGGACGGCUGCGAGAAGGCGCCGUACCCCGCGGGACAGAAGCUCCCAGCAGGUCUCCACCACGCUCCCUUCAUCUUCCCGGAAGGCUUGUGCUCCAUAGAGACCCUGCUCACCAACAUCCAGCAGGGUCUGCUGAGGGUUGCCAUAGAAAACGCCCGGGCGCAGGAGAAGCAGGACCACCUGGAGAGGACCGAGCUGAAGAUGGAGCUGGUGCGCGAGCGAGAGCUGCGAGAGACGCUGGAGAGGCAGCUGAGCAUGGAGCAGAAAAACAGAGUUAUCAUCCAGAAGCGACUGAAGAAGGAAAAAAGGAGUAAGAGGAGACUUCAGGAGGCCUUGGAGGAGGAGGUGAAACUCCGAGAUCAGGCAGAGCAAGGCUUCCUGCAGCAUGCCGCUGGCGCGCUCUCGGCGCAGCACAUCAAUCAUCAGCCGCCUCUCUCCCGACAGAGUCUGUGACCCAGGACGCGGACGUCGUCGAGCUGGAGGACGACAGGCUGGACGCUAAGGCAACAGUGCAAGAGGGCCGAGUAUUCCUGCAGACGGCUGGGAUGUAUUGAAGAAACACACUUUUGACCUUUUUCCACUGUUCUCUACCUUUAAUUUAUUGCAUUUAUUACCCAAUCCUGGACUGUAGUAGCUGCAAUUCCUUUAUUCUGAUGAUGCGUUUGUUUGUGUUUCUUUCACCCGAGAUCCUAUUUGACGAGGAGCGUAGUUGUUAUUUGUCUGGACACAAGUGAUCGGUAUAUCUUGUAACCCAGCUGUGUACAUAUAUAGUUAUUGCUUUAUGUUGUUAUAAUCCAGAAAAAGGCAUGUUGUAUAGUCAGUACAUGUAUGGUGUAUGUUAUGCAGUAGGGCAGUUUGACAAGACAAUACAAAUACUUUUUAAUAUUAAAA